rnacentral:rRNA from 1 species
CCUACGGGUGGCUGCAGUGAGGAAUAUUGGUCAAUGGGGGAAACCCUGAUCCAGCAACGCAGCGUGAAGGAAGAUUGCUUUAUGAUUGGAAACCUCUGUUCAUAUUGAAGAAUAAUGGCGUUUGCAAAGCCGCAUGUCACUGCUAACUACGUGCGAGCAGCCUCGGUAAUUCGUAGGUGGCAAGCUAUUUCCGGAGUUACUGGGUGUAUCGGGAGCGCAGGCGGAAAGGCAAGUCUGAUGUGAAAGCUUGCGGCUCAACCGGAGGACUGCAGUGGGAACUUGCAGGCUGGAGUGCAGGAGAGGUAGGCGGAAUUCGUGGUGUAGCGGUGAAAUGCUGAGAUAUCACGAAGAACGCCAGUGGCGAAGGCGGCUUACUGGACUGCAACUGACGCUGAGGCUCGAAAGUGUGGGGAGCAAACAGGAUUAGAUACCCCAGUAGUC